AAAGUGAGCUGUAACUUUAGCUACAUUUGGAGCAGUAUAGAGAAGAUCAGCAUGGGUUCUACACAAGGGUGACACCCAAAUUUAUGAAGUACUUUAUAUUUUU
ensembl:snRNA U6 U6 spliceosomal RNA